CGGGCUGUAGCGCAGUUUGGCUAGCGCGCUUGCUUGGGGUGCAAGAGGUCGCAGGUUCAAGUCCUGUCAGCCCGACCA
rnacentral:tRNA from 4 species